AACGCUGGCGGCGUGCUUACAAUUGCUGAAGACGAGUCCUCCGAUCUCGGAGUAGGAAGACCUAGUGGCGAACGGGUGCGUAACAAGUGAGAAACCUGCCCCGGUCUCUGGGAUAACAGUUGGAAACGACUGCUAAUACCGGAUGCCGUCGGACCGUCGCAUGGCGGACCGACGAAAGGGUUACCGGAUCGGGAAGGUCUCGCGGCCUAUCAGCUUGUUGGUGAGGUAACGGAUCAACAAAGCAUCGACGGGUAGCUGGUCUGAGAGGAUGAUCAGCCACACUGGGACUGAGACACAGCCCAGACACCUACGGGAAGACAGAAAGUGGGGAAUAUUGCACAAUGGGCGAAAGACUGAUGCAGCAACGCCGCGUGCGGGAUGAAGGCCCUAGGGUUGUAAACCGCUUUCCGCAGGGCAGAAAAUGACGGUACCUGUAGAAGAAAGUGCGGUCAACUACGUGCCAGCAGUCGCGGUUGACACGUAAGCACCAAGCGUUGUCCGGAUUGAUUGGGCGUAAAGAGCUCAUAAGCGGAUCAGUAAGUCGGGUGUGAUAACUCUGGGGUCAACCCAGAGACGACCCCGAUACUGUAGUGAAUAGAGUGCCGUAAGGGAGCGGGGACUACCUAAUGUACAGGGGAAAUGCGCAAAUAUUAAGAGGAACACCAGU
rnacentral:rRNA from 1 species